rnacentral:tRNA from 1 species
AGGAUUUAGCUCAGUGGUAGAGCGCUUGCCUAGCAAGCACAAGGUCCUGGGUUCAGUCCCCAGCUCCUA